GAUGCACUACUGCAACAUCUGUAUUGAUGGCUUUAAAGCCUCCAGUCUAAACUUCAUGAUCUAGCUAUUCAGCUCAUACUUCAUAAGCCUGUGAAAAGCCCAAUAGCUAUCUACAGUGAUAUUCAUGGACAAUCUCAUUAUCUUCGAGAGCUUUUCCAUAGUGGAGGAAAGUUAUCACUUGGCAACAUUAUGAUGGUGAUGUUGAAGAACUCUAUCUGGACUUUAUAGGAACUGAAAGUCAUUUGGAAAACGACAUGUUAUUAAGCUCAAGCCUAGUGGAAAGGAUGUUAGUGUGACCAGGAAGAACAAAUUGCAGUACUUCCAUGUAACUGCUGAUUAUAAACUUAAUCUGACAGAUUUUUCUAUUUUCAAAUGCAUUCUAUGUAGUAACUGAUCUGAUAUCACCAACUUGGCUAAAAUUGUUUAAUGCAGGGAAAUUUAAUCAGAAAGAACACACAAUACACUGGUGGUCAAUCUGAAGGGACCUUGGCGAUUAAAAUCUUUUGGGAGGUUUCAAAAUCUCCAUAGAAGUGUCAUGCUCUAGAUUGAGCAAAAGAAAUUGGUAAU
rnacentral:lncRNA from 1 species